GAAGGAUGGGCUCGCGUUGGAUUAGAUAGUUGGUGGGGUAACGGCCUACCAAGUCGACGAUCCAUAGCCGGACUGAGAGGUUGAACGGCCACAUUGGGACUGAGACACGGCCCAGACUCCUACGGGAGGCAGCAGUGGGGAAUAUUGCACAAUGGGGGAAACCCUGAUGCAGCAACGCCGCGUGAAGGAAGACGGUUUUCGGAUUGUAAACUUCUGUUCUUAGUGAAGAAUAAUGACGGUAGCUAAGGAGCAAGCCACGGCUAACUACGUGCCAGCAGCCGCGGUAAUACGUAGGUGGCAAGCGUUGUCCGGAAUUACUGGGUGUAAAGGGAGCGCAGGCGGGAAGCCAAGUCAGCUGUGAAAACUACGGGCUUAACUUGUAGACUGCAGUUGAAACUGGUUUUCUUGAGUGAAGUAGAGGUUGGCGGAAUUCCGAGUGUAGCGGUGAAAUGCGUAGAUAUUCGGAGGAACACCGGUGGCGAAGGCGGCCAACUGGGCUUUAACUGACGCUGAGGCUCGAAAGUGUGGGGAGCAAACAGGAUUAGAUACCCUGGUAGUCCACACUGUAAACGAUGAUAACUAGGUGUGGGGG
rnacentral:rRNA from 1 species